UUAAGUAGACCGCCUGGGGAGUACGGCCGCAAGGUUAAAACUCAAAUGAAUUGACGGGGGCCCGCACAAGCGGUGGAGCAUGUGGUUUAAUUCGAUGCAACGCGAAGAACCUUACCUGGUCUUGACAUCCACAGAAGUUUGCAGAGAUGCGAAUGUGCCUUCGGGAACUGUGAGACAGGUGCUGCAUGGCUGUCGUCAGCUCGUGUUGUGAAAUGUUGGGUUAAGUCCCGCAACGAGCGCAACCCUUAUCCUUUGUUGCCAGCGAUUAGGUCGGGAACUCAAAGGAGACUGCCAGUGAUAAACUGGAGGAAGGUGGGGAUGACGUCAAGUCAUCAUGGCCCUUACGACCAGGGCUACACACGUGCUACAAUGGCGCAUACAAAGAGAAGCGACCUCGCGAGAGCAAGCGGACCUCAUAAAGUGCGUCGUAGUCCGGAUUGGAGUCUGCAACUCGACUCCAUGAAGUCGGAAUCGCUAGUAAUCGUGGAUCAGAAUGCCACGGUGAAUACGUUCCCGGGCCUUGUACACACCGCCCGUCACACCAUGGGAGUGGGUUGCAAAAGAAGUAGGUAGCUUAACCUUCGGGAGGGCGCUUACCACUUUGUGAUUCAUGACUGGGGUGAAGUCGUAACAAGGUAACCGUAGGGGAACCUGCGGUUGGAUCACCUCCUUACCUGAAAGAA
rnacentral:rRNA from 1 species